rnacentral:lncRNA from 1 species
UCGAUUACAACAUUGUAAAACCUCUGAAUAUCAGAAAGCAUCCUUUCGUCAUCCUUUAUGACAAAGUUGAUAGCAACACCCUUCCUUCCAAAUCGUCCACUACGACCAAUACGAUGCAGGUAGUUCUCUGGCUGAGUUGGAAGGUCAUAGUUAAUCACAAGGGAAACUUGCUGCACGUCAAUACCACGUGCCAGAAGAUCAGUGGUGAUGAGCACACGAGAUGACCCAGAUCGGAACUCUCGCAUAAUGAUAUCUCUAGUGUUCUGGUCCAUGUCUCCGUGAGUUGCAGAUACUGUGUGAUCACGGCUGCGCAUUUUGUCAGUGAGCCAAUCAACCUUACGCCUGGUGUUAACAAAGAUGACACUCUGGGUGAUGGCUAAGGUCUCGUAAAGAUCGCAAAGAGUUUCAAGCUUCCACUCUUCCUUAUCAACAUUGACAUAAAAUUGCUUGAUACCUUCAAGCGUAAGCUCAUCACGCUUCACAAGAAUCCUAACAGGCUUGUUCAUGAACUUCCUAGUAAUUUCAAGGGCUUCUGGCGGCAUAGUGGCAGAGAAAACACCCACUUGAAUCUUUGGUGGCAGCAGUUGAAAAAUAUCAUAAAUCUGGAAAUAAUAAAAUCAAAGACACUGUUUGUGAGCCUUGGGAGCAUAAAUCAGCUUAUAGGUUAGGCCCACAGGAGAUACUAUAGGAAAUAAGGGAAAAAGAACCAGCAAAGUCCUGCAGAGAUUCUAAAAGACAUUAAAGCAUAAUAAGGCUAAUAAUGACAAGAAUAGAACUCCCAUAGAGAAGCUAAUAACACAUAUGCAGAAAUCUUUCCGGAACCUAGCAUACGACUAAGAAAAGAAGCAUAUAAAUACUUACUUUGUCCCCCAACCCCAAAAAAGAAAAUCACAUCCCCAUUUUUGUGCACUACCAAUACAGAAACCUAAUAAAUAAGAAAAAUCCACCUGAAUGACAGAAAAAGAAAUAAAGCAGGAAAUGAAAGGAGAAAACAGUAACCUGAUCCUUGAAACCUCUUGAGAGCAUUUCAUCAGCUUCAUCCAGAACAAACAUCUUGAUGUGGUCAGGGCGAAGAGACUGCCUGCGCAACAUGUCAAAGACACGGCCAGGAGUACCAACCACCACAUGAACACCACUUUGAAGGAUACGCUGAUCCUCACGGACACUGGUACCUCCUACACAAGCAUGAACCUUCACACCGAGAUAAUCACCAAGUGCUCGCAUAACCUUCUCAAUCUGUUGGGCAAGCUCACGGGUUGGAGCCAGAACCAGAGCCUGACAUUCGACUAAGCUGUAAUCGAGCUGCUGGAGAACUCCAGAGCAGAAAGUUGCUGUCUUUCCGGUUCCAGAUUGUGCCUGUUGGAUCACAUCAAGACCCUUGCAAAAUGGAACAAUACCCCUUUGCUGGAUAGCAGAUGGCUUCUCAAAACCUUCAAGCAAAUUAAGCCAGGUGUUAAAUGCCCUGCUAAAUCUAACGAUGGAGAAGGAAAAUCGCAUGUGCUAUUAAGAGGUGCAUUUACCAUAAGCAUAGAUGCCCCUAAGAAGGUUUUCUUGCAAACCCAUGGCAUCAAAACUGUCAUAAACCUCAUCAUAUGAUGUGAAGAACUCCUCCUGCUCAGUCCCAAGCCUGUUUCAGCAUGUCAAAACAUCCAGAAAAUUGAAAAAUUAAAUGAGCAAGCAAAGACAAGGAACACAACAUAGUCGCAAGUGAUAGCUAAAGAAAGGACGAAAAUAAAACGCAAGUGUAGUUUUCUGCAACCAGAUUAAUAUCCUAUUGGUAGAGAAUUGAGAGCAAGCAACUUACAGCUCAGUCAUUUUGGCAUCAUACUGACGAGCAUCAAAUUGAGAACCUUCCGGUGCCAAGCCAGCCAUGACUGUAGAAAAUAAAAGAACUAUGGUAUUACUUUAAUGGAAAUUCAUUAAACAAUCUUGAACUUAAUAAAGAGGAAAAGCCAAAACCUUACUGCUGAAAUAUCACAUUUUCCAAUACUAGCACUAGCGAUAAUAUUAUCUGUUCUUCCUCUCGAAUAUUGAAAGGGGUGGAGGGCACGACAGAAUGUAUGUUUUCUUUCUUUAUGAAGAAGCACAAAGCACAUAAAGAGGAGAUACACAUGAAAAAAGUUGUUUGAACAUACAGACUAAAUUGCAGCCAACUGCCAGCCAACCUUUCCACAUGUAAUAGGUUUCCAACUAUCCAGUUUUUCCAAUGAGCAAAUACAUUCAGAACUGAGAGAACAUCUAAGAAAACACCCAUUACUUAAAAUCAAAUUAAUGAUAGUCUCAUCCCAUAAGUAUCUCAACAUACAAAUCCAAGGUCCAAAUGACCACCAUUCACAUUCCUUUCAAAAUAUAAUCCUUUUGCACAAUACUUUACAAAAAGGUUCUUUAAUCUAAAUACAAGCACUAUGAGAAUGAAAUAGCUGAUGUUACAAACAGAUAAUAAACAAAGACGAUACUUUUACAAUCAAGAAUAUCACAUCAAUCAGAUCUCUAUCCAAAGUAGUCAAAAAAUAUCACACAUACAGAAACAGCUACAUAACCCAAAACCCAGCUGUAGAAACCAAUUCAGACCGACAACCAAUCAUCAAGAUACAAAAACGAAGAUUAUAUCAUAGAAAAAAGGGAGAAAAAAACAUAGCUAACCUGAUAGAGACGAGGAAAAGAUCUGAGGAAUAGCAAACAGAGAGUUGAAAGGAAAAGUGGGUAAAAGCGAUUGGAGAGUUAGGGUUUGCAAAGACUGCUGUUUUUGUCUGAAACUCCUCGGAUCUACGCCGCAGGAGUUCAGAGGAAAAGAGAAUAGAAAGAUUAGACUCUUGCGUUGUGUUAUGUGUUUUUUUUUUAUGGUUUUUUUGUAAUUGUGUUCUUUUAUGGAAUUGUAUUUACUAUUUUCUGUAACAUCUUGUUUUGUCUUUUAUUUUUUGAAAUUCCUAUUUUGACCCGAGAAUGGGGUGGAUUCUACAAAAUUGAGGGCUAGAUUUUUUAUUGGGCUGCUUGGGCCAAAUUUAGGUGAGUUACUUUAUCUAUACUAUAUUAAAAGUAGGAAAACUCUUAUCGAAAUGUCAAUUGCUUUUUUUAUCCUUUAAAACAUAAUUUUACAUCGGAUAAUCUUGUUAUUUAGCGCUUCUCCAAAUAUUUAGGACAUUAAAAUCAAAUAAAAUUUAAUUUAUUAAAUUUUUCCUUAUUUAAAUUAGGCCUUUAAAAUCAAUUAAAAGAUUUUCUUAUUCUAAUAAAAAGAGAAAUAGAAAACUUUAAAAACUUACCUAACGUUAAUUAGGUAAACAUGGAAACUUGAAAAAUUCUAAUUUAUUGCAAUAUAAAUAACGACAAAAUUGAAUAGAGUUUCUUUAGUUAACUAUAAAUUCUAACAAUUUAUGAAGAUUAAAGUGGCAGAUCUCUUAUUUAAUUUAAAUAAGGUUAAAUUGGUUCUCUAAUAUCGGUAAAGCAAUAUCUUCCCAUUGCAAAUAACAAUAGUAAAACAUGUACAAGUUUAGGACUAAAAUUAUAUAUAUAUAUAUAUAUAUAUAUAUAUNNNNNNNNNNNNNNNNNNNNNNNNNNNNNNNNNNNNNNNNNNNNNNNNNNNNNNNNNNNNNNNNNNNNNNNNNNNNNNNNNNNNNNNNNNNNNNNNNNNNNNNNNNNNNNNNNNNNNNNNNNNNNNNNNNNNNNNNNNNNNNNNNNNNNNNNNNNNNNNNNNNNNNNNNNNNNNNNNNNNNNNNNNNNNNNNNNNNNNNNNNNNNNNNNNNNNNNNNNNNNNNNNNNNNNNNNNNNNNNNNNNNNNNNNNNNNNNNNNNNNNNNNNNNNNNNNNNNNNNNNNNNNNNNNNNNNNNNNNNNNNNNNNNNNNNNNNNNNNNNNNNNNNNNNNNNNNNNNNNNNNNNNNNNNNNNNNNNNNNNNNNNNNNNNNNNNNNNNNNNNGGUUUUUAAAAUUAUAUACCACCCACUUUAAAUAUGAUUUUAAGCAUCCAUUGUUUUGAUUAAAUUAUUGUUGUCCUUCUUUAGUUUUAUCAUAUUUCUUAAUUCAUGAAAAUUGAAAUUAUAUGUUAUUCUAUAGAUUAGUGUCAGUAUUUGUCCGUUAUUUUGUACAUAUUUUUUCAAGGUAACAGAAAGAUGGUUCUUGCUACGAAAGAGUGCCCAAUCAAGUGCCAUAAAAAUUUGAUUUUGGUAGCAAAAGAUAUUACCAUCAAAAUCAGUUUGUAUGUUAUACUCACGGGUAAUUUUUUAAAUUUUCAUUUAUCUUUUUGUAUUCUUAAAAGGAGUGAACUUAUUCUACUUAUGUUCUUAUUUUAACUUGACAUUAGUUUCAAGAGUAAUUUUCUUCUCAUUUGGAAAGGUGAAAUUAGAAUCUCAAUGCCAUAAGUUUACUCUCUUUUGGGGAUGGCAGAUAGAAUUGAUAAAAAAUUAGAAGAAAAAAAUUAAAAACUUGUUACUUGCAUGUUUCUUUGUAAAAUUCUAGGUGAGGAUUGUUCAGUCAAUGUGUUUCUAUAUUGAUUUUUUUAAUAAUUUAUUUAUAUUUGGUUUAGACCAAAUCUAAAGUCAGUGGGCAAAUAAGAUUAAAUUGUCAUUACAAUUAAUUUUCUUUUUAUUUUUGAUUGUUUAUACGUGUAUAUUUAUUUUUGAUUUGUUUUACAGUAAUUUGUUUAGGUUUUUCUUAUUUAAUUUAUAAUUUGUUUUAUAAUUUGUCUAGGUUUAGUUUAGAAUGCAUACCAAAGUCAUUGAGGAGUCCAAACCUUGUGGUCAUUAAGAAAUUCGUUAACUUUAAUUUGUUAAAACUGAAAUAACAAUGUAUUAUAUGGAAGCUCACAGAGCAAACUUUAAAUAACAAUAAAUCAUACGAGAAAAGAGAAAUAUAUAAAAAGAGAUACAAUAAUAUGAUUUGGUCACCUCACCUAUAUAUAUAUGAGCAAUUCACGAAAAAAAUAGUAUACAAACCUUUUCCUCCAAAAAAGGAAUAGCCAAAUAAAGAAUAGAUUUAUAUUUUUCUUUUAAGAAAGUAACAAGAGAAUUGUGGCAAAUAUUUGCCCAUGCUUCAAAGGAAAAAUAAAACUUAAAUAUAAUAAAUUAGGUCAGAAGCAACAACAUAACAUAGCAUUAUUUUAUACAAUAAAAUAUGUAUAAUUAUAAUUACUACUAAAUAACUAACUCAUUUCGUACAUGAAGAUUUAGAAAACAUGCAAUUACUUUGAACUCAUCUUGUCUUAACGUAAAGUAUUUAUUUUUUAUUCAAAAAAUUAUUGCAUAUAUCUCAACAUCAAUUGUUAUUUCACAUAAUUCAUUCUUAUUCUAUAUGAUGUAGGACUUUUUAAUAAUAGACGCAAAACACACGUGCAUCGCACGUACACUGAAACUAAUCAUAAUUAAAAGUAAGAAUUAACUUAAAUAGCGUCCACUCAACGGCUUAAAUUAUAAAUAGUUAUCGAGUAAAUAUAUAAUAUAUGUAUAAAAUAAUAUGCAACACCGUAUCCAACACCGCUUGGGCGGGAAAUUGUAAUAAAUAUACAUAUAAAUAAUAUGCAAAAUCAAUCGGAUAUAGAUAGUUUUAUGAGAGUGGUUGGUACAGUAGCUCAAAUUUUAGCCGCAUUUGUUUGUUUUAUAAAUAAAUAGGUAAAAAUCGAGCUUUGGACUUCCCCAUUAUUGUAACCAGUAAGCCGAAGGAGCUCUAAAGGUUAAUUGAGAGGGCAUCUAUCUAAAAAACAAAUGGUCAAGAGUACUCUUAAUACUCGUGUCAAUUGGUUUUUUGGCUCUUUACAAACUUAUUUUUAGUUUUAUGAACCUACUUCCUUUUUUUUCACAUGAUAAAUUUAUUUUUACACGUAAAAGAGCCGUCUUUUACACAUAAGAGAUCUAAAAAGGUCAUUUUCUUAAAUUCAAAAUUGUAAAGGGGCAUGAUGUACAAAUAGCACUCUCCCUCCAAUAGGUGCAUUGCAUAAAGAGCAAACCAUAUUGUCCAAACAACCCCAUAGUGCCAAACUUUCUUCCAUAUGCAGCUAGAUACAGAAUAUAAGCCCAUUUUUGUGAGGAAACAUUGUUACAAACCAAUCUCCUCCAAUACACCUUUUGAAAACCUCCUCUAAACUUCAGAUAUAUAUACCUGUUCUAUAAAGAACUGCUCAAUGUUCAACACAUCACCUUCUAGCCAGCCAGCUUCCCCAUAGUAUUUUCUAGCCUUCAAUAUUUUCUGAACUAGCCAUUAGGCCUGUUUGGGUAGUGCUUCCCAUAUUGUUUUCCAAAGAAAUUGUUAAAGUUUCCUUAAAGUUAGAGCAACUGGUUUCUGUUUCUUAUAUUAUAUGAUUUUCUUUAAUUAUUCUUCUUAGGUCAUAUAUUAUGGUAGGACGAAGACAGAUCCAAAAUUCAAACUGCAGAGCUCAAAAUUUACUAUUUAUAAUAUUUUUCAGAAUUAUUCACACAACACACAAAUAAUACAAGAAGAAAAUGACAGUUCUGAUCCGUCUAUCCUUAGAGAUCUCGGGUUCGAGCCAUGAAAUUGUAAACUCAUAGUAGGGACGCUUUACUCCUUUAGUGGUAUAAAUCCGGAUUAAUCAAGCCAAUGAGUUGUGGAUACUUGAUGGUUAAACCAAAAUAGAAAAUGAUAGGCUCAAUUGGAUGCAUGUUCAAAACUAUAUAAGUCUGCUGGGUAAUUAGGGAAGUCUAAUGGCCUUUUCUUUCCUUUUACAUGCUGGGAUAAUUAUCACACAACGUCCCCGACUCCAGAAACCACAUAGAGGGCAAUGGUUCCAGCAACUUAAUGCGGCAGCUUCUGUAAUUGUGGACGGAUCAGUAAUAAUCCUGGUCCUAUACUUGAGAUUGUACUUGUGAGUACAAAAUAAGUCUCAUUUUUUUUAACCACUAUAGGGUUCGAACCGUGGAAACAGCCUCUUGCAGAAAUGCAGAGUAAGGCUACGUACAAUAGACCCUUGUGGUCCGACCCUUCCCGAACCCCGCGCAUAGCAGGAGCUUAGUGCACCGGGCGGCCCUUUUACUCACUACACAUGUCAUACAAGAGGAGGGAGAGGACAUCCAUUGCACCAAUCCUGAAUUAAUGAUCACAUGGAAGCUAAUAAGUCUCAAAUACAAUAUACGUCAACACAUGCACCAUCUUCCAUUUACAAUGUCUCUCAAAUCAAAAGCAAACUACACAAAAGCACCACAAAGCGUGAAACUAUCACACAGUUCAAAUAAAACAAUUUGCCUCUAAAAGCUUCCUCAUACACAAUAACAAGGUCAAGAGUUAAAUCUCAAUAAAAUUUCAAAGAACAUCCAAAAACUGAAGUUAUUGUAGACUUACAAUACAAAAGGCAAACCGAUAAAAUUGAUAGUAGAUAGUCCAACCAAAGUUGAAGAUUUACAGGUUCCAUGGUGAAUCAUGGCACCUGCAUUUCCCAAUUCUAAACCCGGUAGAAUUCUAACUAACCUAAGAAUAAGAUAUUAAAUUACUUCAUGUAAGGAAGAAUUCACCUCACAUAACCAAAACAACCUCAAAGGAGAUCGGCCACAUUGGCUGGCAACUCCUCGAUGACAACAUUAUAAAACUUCUGAAUGUCAGAAAGCAUCCUUUCAUCAUCCUUUGUGACAAAGUUGAUAGCAACACCCUUCCUUCCAAAACGUCCACUACGACCAAUACGAUGCAGAUAGUUCUCUGGCUGAGUUGGAAGGUCGUAGUUAAUCACAAGGGAAACUUGCUGCACGUCAAUACCACGCGCCAGAAGAUCAGUGGUGAUGAGCACACGAGACGACCCAGAUCGGAACUCUCGCAUAAUGAUAUCUCUAGUAUUCUGGUCCAUGUCUCCGUGAGUUGCAGAUACU